AUUCGCCCUUAGAGUUUGAUUAUGGCUCAGAUUGAACGCUGGCGGCAUGCCUUACACAUGCAAGUCGAACGGCAGCGCGGGAGCAAUCCUGGCGGCGAGUGGCGAACGGGUGAGUAAUAUAUCGGAACGUACCCUAGAGUGGGGGAUAACGUAGCGAAAGUUACGCUAAUACCGCAUACGAUCUACGGAUGAAAGUGGGGGACCGCAAGGCCUCAUGCUCAUGGAGCGGCCGAUAUCUGAUUAGCUAGUUGGUGGGGUAAAAGCUCACCAAGGCGACGAUCAGUAGCUGGUCUGAGAGGACGACCAGCCACACUGGGACUGAGACACGGCCCAGACUCCUACGGGAGGCAGCAGUGGGGAAUUUUGGACAAUGGGGGCAACCCUGAUCCAGCAAUGCCGCGUGUGUGAAGAAGGCCUUCGGGUUGUAAAGCACUUUUGGCAGGAAAGAAAAGGUACUGGCUAAUAUCCAGUGCUGAUGACGGUACCUGCAGAAUAAGCACCGGCUAACUACGUGCCAGCAGCCGCGGUAAUACGUAGGGUGCAAGCGUUAAUCGGAAUUACUGGGCGUAAAGCGUGCGCAGGCGGUUGUGUAAGUUUGACGU
rnacentral:rRNA from 1 species